rnacentral:rRNA from 1 species
UACAGAGGUCUCAAGCGUUGUUCGGAUUCAUUGGGCGUAAAGGGUGCGUAGGUGGCGCCGUAAGUCGGGUGUGAAAUUUCGGAGCUUAACUCCGAAACUGCAUUCGAUACUGCGGUGCUUGAGGACUGGAGAGGAGACUGGAAUUCAUGGUGUAGCAGUGAAAUGCGUAGAGAUCAUGAGGAAGACCAGUGGCGAAGGCGGGUCUCUGGACAGUUCCUGACACUGAGGCACGACAGCGUGGGGAGCAAACAGG